AUGCUCAGUUUGUGUCCUCAUCGUGUUAUACAUAACAACUAUUCUUUCAUGAUGGAUGACAUGUUCUUAUACCAUGCAUCAAACUUUGAGCGAUUCUUAUCUUGUGUUAACUCUCAUGUGCACAUACACAUCACGAUGGAUGAUGUGUACAUUUACCACGCACACAAUUUCUUUCAUUUGCAUCUCUUUUGUGUAGGUACCCAUGAAUACUUGUCAACUUCACAAUCCCAUGAGUUAACAAAACGAGCUCUAGAGAGCAAUGAUGACUUGGGAUCCCAUGGAUUGUCUUUUCCACCGCUCUCUUCGCACAAAGACUUCGCACAUUUCUUCUACAUGACCCUCACUUGGCUAUGGGUUAUUGUCCAAUACAUAUUCUAUGCCCAUCUUGCCAUGUCCACUUUGCAUGAUAUGCCCAUUCCUAUGCCUUUGCCAUGCAUUUGUGACCCAUGCUAUGCAUUACACAUGAUGAUUGAUUCUAGUACUUGUAUGUGUAUUUGCAAGCUUGGUGGAGAUAUUGCUUAUUAUUGCCAUGUUCCACCUAUGACCCAUUCCUAUGAUGAUACUAUGAUCUUGCUUUGUGUUCGUGCUUGCGAUAUGUCAUGUGCAUUGCCUAUGCCUAUUAUUUGCUCACAUGACAUGAUUACCAUGAUUUCCUCUAGUAUGUUGCAUCUUCACACUAUUAGCUUGCCCGACUUGAUUACUAUGAUUGCUUGCCGUGUUGCAUCACCGAUGAUUCAUACUUGCUCGCUUCAUGCGGUUGAUGACAACCAUCUACAUGAUUUGCACAUGAUUGUUAUUGCUUCUUGUCAUAUAUCUCCAUAUGUUGCCUCUCUCAAGCUAGAUGAUUUACCAUGUAUUGAGUGCAAUUAUGCCUUUAGUCUUGAUAGUGAGUUUGCCACCAUAGCAUUCUCGCAUAUUUUUGAAGAUUUUGACAUAUUUCUUGUGAAGCGUGCUUGUCUUAGUUCUUUGCACCAUAUACCUAGUGCCAUGAAUAUCGCCAUUGUUGCAUCAUAUUAUUCAUGCAUAUGUGCUUCUAAUGGUUAUGUGCAAGAGAAGAGAACCAUCAUGAUGGAUGAUGUGUUUAUCUACCAUGCGCAUAUGUUCUUUCCUUUGUUUUGUGCAUGUGUAGGAAACUUGGACUUUGUGUCAACUUCCACGUCACGUGAGUUGACAAUUCGAGCUCUUGAGAGUGAACCACCUUCUACCACGACGAUUCUACAUCGCACUUGCUUGUGCUUUGGCAUUGUGAAGGACACACAAGGACACGCCUUCAAGGUGAAAUCUUUCUUGAGCAUGGAUAUUGUGGAUCAUACUACUUGUGUUGUUUGCGCACAUGUUAGAGAUCUUGCUUCCACUUGUCAUUUUCACCUUUCCAUGCCUCAUGAUAUAUAUGCCUUGUGUGUUGCAUCCGACUUGUGGAUUACUUGA
rnacentral:rRNA from 1 species